GACGAACGCUGGCGGCGUGCUUGACACAUGCAAGUCGAACGGUAAGGCCCUUCGGGGUACACGAGUGGCGAACGGGUGAGUAACACGUGCGUGAUCCGCCCUGCACUUCGGGAUCAGCCUGCGGAACUGGGUCUAAUACCAGAUCGGACUCCGGACUGCAUCUUCUGGGGUGGAAAGCUUUUGCGGUGUGGGAUGGGCACGCGGCCUAUCAGCUUGUUGGUGGGGGGUUGGCCUACAAAGGCGACGACGGGUAGCCGGCCUGAGAUGGUGACCGGCCACACUGGGACUGAGAUACGGCCCAGACUCCUACGGGAGGCAGCAGUGGGGAAUAUUGCACAAUGGGCGCAAGCCUGAUGCAGCGACGCCGCGUGAGGGAUGCCGGCAUUCGGGUUGUAAACCUCUUUCAGCAUCGACGAAGCGAAAGUGACGGUAGGUGCAGAAGAAGGACCGGCCAACUACGUGCCAGCCGCCGCAGUAA
rnacentral:rRNA from 1 species